GCUCGCUUUGGCAAUGCAUAUACUAAAAUUGAAAUGACACAGAGAAGAUUAGCAUGGCACCUACACAAGGAUGAUACACCAAAGCAAGACCAUCAUGUUGAAUUU
ensembl:snRNA U6 U6 spliceosomal RNA